rnacentral:sRNA from 1 species
AGUGAAGGAUUAGGUAAAAUGAUGGCAGACAAAACUAGUGAGGGAUUAGGUCAUAAUGGCAGACAAAACUAGUGAAGGAUUAGGUCAUAAUGGCAGACAAAACUAGUGAAGGAUUAGGUCAUAAUGACAGACAAAAAUAGUGAAGGAUUAGG